AGGGAAAUAGCUCAGUGGUAGAGCACAUGCUUAGCAUGCACGAGGUCCUGGGUUCAAUCCCUAGUACCUCCG
rnacentral:tRNA from 1 species